AAAAAGUAAUUUGACAAUUAACAGAAAUCUUAUGAACGCUCAGAGCUCGACUUAGAUAACCAAUCUAAGUUUAGGAGAAUUCUUGGCAACGUGCAGGCACCAAAUCAAUGUCCACAAUUGAUGGAGCACAAAGGGAAACUGAGAGGACACAUUAAAUGUUUUUUAACAACGUAUCUUAUAGACAUAAAUAGAGGAUAUGCAUAGCAACAAUGAUUUCCGGUUAAGAAGAAUUACAACCUAGACUAAGUCAGAUAAGGCAGUUAUUAUUUUUGCCAUCAGUAAAAACAUGUUUUCGGCUAAAAGAUUUGAUUUUUUUUUUCCUCUCCAAGGGGGAGAAAUUUGCCUUUCCAAUACUGAUUUUUUUCUGCCUCACGAAAGAAGAUUAUUUAAAGAGGAUGUAAGACAGUGGAGACCGGGAACAACUACCAAACAUUGAACUCCUUCAUCUCAACUCCAGAGUUCCUUUCUUUCUUUUCUAGUUUACACCCCCAAUAAACUAACAAAAAAAUUGGGCUUGAAUAUGCUAAAAAGUCACGUGGACUGGACAACAAUAUGACCUUUGUUCGUUUAUUUUUUAAAAAAAAACAGGAGAUCGCCGAAUGGCCUCAGAACACAAAAAACUUGAACUACAAAACUUUUGGCAAAGCUCAACGCUUAAAAAAAUACCACCAACACCAAGCAAUACGGCCACCAAAACCAAAAAUCAUCUAGUAUUGUGAACAAAAAUUCCAUUUCCCAACAUCCCUUCCUUCAAGAAAUGUUAAAAUUGCCUUUUUAGAAAUUGAAGAAUUCCAAAUUCCCUAGAUAACGAAAAAUAAAAAAAUACGACCGUAAUAAAAUUCUCUAGUGGUUUAUUUUCUAUGACCGGCCCUUUGUUUUUUUGCAAGUUUCGCCACUACACAAGACAAUUACAAUAUUGAGUUUCCUUCUCUUGGUAGAUAGCCAUUGAGGUUUUGGCUUUUGUAGAUUACCAAUAUGAACUUUAGAUGCAAAAAAUCCUAUACUUCUGAGAAACUUGUAGACUUAGGUUUUCCACCCAGAUUUACACGGAUGGGACCAUUGAACAAGGAAAUGAUUUUAGUUUCUCAAAAGCAAAAUUAAAGUCAAAAUCUUCCCUCUAGUUUCCUUGCAAUUUUCAAAUUCCGUCCCUCUCAUAUUGAUUGUAACGUUUCACAAAUGGAAUCACUAGACUUGAGUGGUUUAAUUUAUUAUAUCUACAAGAUAACAGUAAUCUAGCAAGACAAGCAAUCUUGUAUGAUUACCAACGAAGCACCAAUUCCAAAUUAUGGUAACCUCGAGAACAUUGUAAAAACCAAACACCCCCGGCAUAAUAGAUUUCUGAGAAAUUGUAGCAGUGACACAGGGCCACCACUCCACAGGCUGGUAUGCAGGAUGUUCAACCCUGUGGUAUAACACCGUGUUCAAAAAUUUUAGCUGCCAAAAAACGUUGUUUCAAUACGGGAUUUACUCAUUUCCCAAUGACACUUUUUGAGAAACCGUGAAUAAACUUUUUUCCCAAGAAAUCUUUUUAAAAGGGCGGAACUUUUUUUUGGUAGGAAUCCUAACUUUUGAGGAAACUAGAAUAAUUUUCCAAAUUUCUUUAACAAAUCAGUGUUUGGAAACUAACAGAAAAGAAAAACACUUCUUUGUGGAUUUUUUUUUGUUGUUUUCAAAAAUUGUCAUAAUAAUAUCGUUUUCUUUCCAAACAAUGGCUAUUUUUUUUUUCGGACUUUCUCAAACAAGAUAUAAUUAAAAAAUACCUAAUCCCCUAAAUUUUGAUUUUAUAUUUAAACUUGAAGUGGUUUCAUAUUGGUUUUUUUUGUUGUCUUAAACUUUCCAAAGCAUGCCAUUUUCGGGGGGGGGGGGGGGGGGGGGGGGGGGCUUUUUCCCCUCGUUUUCUUAGGAUAUUUGCACAACCAUGAUUUGAAUCGGUAAUACUUCUUCACUUAAAACUUCUGUCCACUAGUAGUUUUCUUUAGAAAAAGGGAAGCGUUUCUCUAGUCGCUCACAUUCAAGGAAAAGUAAUGAAGCUAAAGGGAUGACAGAAAGAAGGGUAUUGAGGCUUAAAAAAAAUGUAAAGAAACUAAAGCAAAAAGGAAAAAACGAACAUUAAAACAAUUAGAAUAAAAUAAAUCAUUGAAGAUCUUUUCUAGCACUUUUAACCUUAAUAUGGGUAUCCGAAACAAAGCUGCUGUUUGUGCGUUUUGUGUUUUUUCCUUUUUUUUUUUUUUCUUUUUUUCUGAUUUUUGGACAAAAACUGUGGCCAAAUACAAAUUAUAUAUAAACAUCCAUUAAAUUCUAUAAUAAAUUCCACUCAUAACAUCAUGAGGAACCAAAGCUUUGGCAAUAAAUCAUGACAUCUGAAGAGGUUUGUUGCCAAGUAAAAGAACACAUACCAAGUAUAAUAGACACUACCUAAAAGUGGUUUUUUUUAUGUUUGGAAGGUGAACACAUAUUUUCCAUGCCAGGUAUAUCAAAAAGUACAGGCAACCAAGUGAACUAUAGCCAAUCAAAAUAGUCAAAAAAACUCUAUCCACACAAAACUGACAUACAUACAUAUCCCUAUGUAAGAUGCCAAGGCAUCCAAAAUAAGAAGAAGAAAAUAUAUAAAAAUGUCAGACACAAUAUAUUCUAACGUCACGAACAAGGAUAUGAUCUACAACGGGAUUUACAGUCAACAAGUUUGCACCUGUAGUUCUUUGAUUUUGAUUAUUCAUAGUGUGAUACCGAUGUAUGAAGCACCAAAAGGAGUAUCAGAGUAGCUUCGGUACUAGAAAUAAGCCUAACUUCUAGAAUUUCAUCCUGUUUUUUUUGAAUUUGUGUACUUCUUCCAAUGGAAGGUGGGCAAUGAGACCCAGGCCUUUCUUAUGGAAGAAAUUGAGAAUUCAGUAACAUCCGACAGGAUUUUGGAGCACAGUUGGAGUCUACCACAAGAAUGUUGUUAACAGGACCUGCCCACAACAUAAACAAAAGUACCUAUUUUUGGUAAUAUGAUUGAAAACUUGAGGAACAAUAUUACAUAAAACACGAGAGAGAUCAAGAACAGAUUUAAAUAUAUUUCCAAGCAUUAAAGAAGUUUCUAAAUAUGGAUGUGCUUGUAUAAGAAUACUAAGAUAUACACACGUAAUAUGUUUUUCAAACAUGGUAGAACAAAAAUCAUAUCAAAAUAAUAGGAAUUUGUUUUUGGAAGUAAUUAAGAAUGUUUCCUUUAUAAACACAAUGGAAAAAAGCCAUGUAAACAUGGAUACAUUAGCCUAGAAUGGUCCACUCAUAUCUUACGAUCCACCAAAUAUACCUUGAUAUAAUAAAAGUAUAUGGAUACCUUCUUCAUAUUGUGCUAAUACAUAUGUUUGAUAGGAUUGAGUAGUCAAAGUGAGUUGUUAACAAUGGCAAUCCACAACAAACAAUUUUAAUCCACAACCAAAAGAAUAUCUACUAUGGCGAAAUAUAUCUCUUAAAAAUGAAGUCAAAGUAACAUUUGUGAUAAAAAUCAGAUAUACCUUUCGCAUAUGUUUUGAAAACCCGAACGAUGUUAUGACUUUUAGUGUCCCAGACAGACUCUAACUUAACUCCUCUUCAUAGCCGACACAACCAACAACACUCCAUCCGAUCGAAAGCUAAGGCAAGUGACAGGCGUACUGUCCCGAAAAUGAGAUUGUAAUUUUUUUAUAAAUCCAUCAUUUGACAUCAUAAAAUCAAAAAGUUGCCAUCCUCAAAAUUCCCAGUUAUACACAUAAAAUCUAUACUAAACUCAAAAAAAAAAAUUGUCCACAAAUAUAAGCGUCAUAAAACCAGAUUAUUAUGUGACAGCAAUGUCAAUAUCCAUCAUUGUCUAUUUAUUUUAAACAUCAAUAUCUAUUAAACUAUAAUCAAUUGUCAAUCCAAAUAACAACACAAAAUACGCAGUUAUGUCCUUAUGCAUUGCUUUGUUGUUUAAACUUUCCUAAUCUAUAAGAAUGAUCUUCCUACUUAAGAAUUGCCUAUUUCUAUUCAAUAAACUAUCAAAAAGGAAGAAGAUCAUAGAAUCAUUGGGGGAAAAUAACAAACAACACGGCAUAUUGCAACGUGGAACAUCUCUUCAAAAGUAGGCAAUUAUCUAUUCAAGACGUAAUGAGCAAUAAGGCAUUCUAUAAAACAAAGAUAAUUAUUGAUAGAACACCUGAAAAUUUUAAAUAUGUACCAAACCAACAUAAAAAUUAAUCAACGCCACGCAGACACCACCUAUGGUACGAAAAGAAGUGGGGGACUUUUGAUGACAAACUUAAUAACAACACUUUUUGAAGGAUAAAGUAGGUGAUCUACAAAUUAGAAGACUCCAUCAAACUGAUUGAUAAUAUAAGAAUGGACCACAACCUGUGAUCAGCCAUGACCCAUGAUAUGCAUUCCAUUACUGUGCGGAGUGCCUUGAGCGUGGGAGUGCAGCCAAUGUAGAUCUUGCCAUCUCUACCUCCGGCAUAAAGACUGCUCACCAGGGUCCAUGCAAUUGCAUCGUUAUUGAUGGGAAUACAAAUAUUUCUCAAUAGCUUUCCCCUUUGAGAAGCUCCAAACCUAUAUUAUGUAUGUCAUAAGCAGAAAUUAGAUAAGCUAUUCAUAGUGAAUCAUCAUAACUAUAACAUUCAGUAGGAACGUGCCACCGCCUUGCACGUCCUAUCCCAGAAAAAAAAACAAAAGUGGCCCUAUAAUUGCUUACAUCCCUCCAUAACCCGUGGCAUUAUCAGUCACACGUACAGUGUGCUCAAGAACUAUACUCGUAGAGUGCCCUGCUUGCUCCCUCCGCAUAUCAUCAAAUAUCCAAUUAGCAUUCAAUUUCAAGUCCAGUAUAGUCCCCAUGAAGAAGUCAUAAAUCAUGAGCAAAAGUAUAAGUAUUGUACAUAGAAAGACCAUACUCUACUGAUCCAUCCUCUGCCCCAGAAAUCAAUAGAGACUGAUCGUCGGAGAAAUACCAAGCAAGUAACAGCUCUAUAAUAAUGAGCUGCCACUUCUUAAGCAGUCUUCCUGUCGCAACCUAUGUUUAACACAAAACGCAACAUCCGUUCCUUUCUUCUAUAUAUACUCUUUAUCAUGCCAUAGCAAAUUUAGUAAAACCCCAACUGUGAAACCAUAUUAACAAAAUUAAUUGCACCUCCCAUAAUAUAUAUCCCCAGAGCACCUCCUCCAACAUAUUAAGUCCAUCACAUUAGAAGCGGCGAUUCCGAAUUGGCUCUGCUGGGAAGCUCUUAACUUCCACUUGAGGCUGCACGACAAUGAAAACAGGAUCAACCAAGCAUAGAUUGAAAAACAAAGCACACGUUAAUUGAUUUCCUUCUAAGAAUUAUUUAAUCAAACGGUUUAGCUUCAUAAGUAUAAGAUGUUUCACUUUUUUCCAGAUUCCUACAUAGAUACACACACACAUACCAUUACCAGAUGUUUAUAUUUUCUUUGUAUGAAAUAAAUUUUCUGAUUUCCGUUAAGAAUUAUUUAAUCAAACAGGUUUAGCUGCAACGGUCUACAGUUAACGUGUAUGACUUUCAGAUUACAAAUUCCUACAUUAUUCCUACAUUGUCAAUUAUACAGAUGUAUAUAAGAUAAUUAUGGUGAGGAGUGACCUUGUUUCCAGGACCAUUAGAGGACGAGCUGAGGAAGAGGAAGAGGAAUAGGAUGGGCGGAGCUGAGAGGAGGCGAGGAACGGCGGCCACUCACACGAGGCGUGGGAGGGAGGCGCACGACCGGUAAGAGGGCUCCGCCCGGAGUGCAGGUCCCAGCAACCUAUCCAGUCGGCGGCCGACGAGCGAUCACUAGUUCCGGAUCCAUGGUUUUGAGAUUUUUUUUUAUUGGCGAAGGGUUUAAGAGAGUUGGGUUUUUUCUGUGGGGUUUUAUGCGGCCAAGUUUGAGGCUUUGAGCCCAAAUACAACGGGAGUUUCUAAAUGCAAACCCGAAAGGAUCUCAGUACACCCCAAAACUAAAUUUAUUCUUAUUGCAAUUUAGUCCCACAAUGAAAUUACGUUUUAGGACAAACACAAAAUAAGAUUUCUCUCUAUGUCCCACCCUCAUCCCGCAUGCCACUGCAGCACCCCCAUAAUCUCUAGUCCCCUCCUCCUUUCCCCAAUCCUCCUUGUCAUUGACAGCCCUUCUACCACGUUCUCUAAUCACCCCAAAAACCACCCCACUUCACUAAUCAACCUAGUUGCUCUAGCCUCUCCCACCAUCCACAACCAUCAUCGCUAGCUUCCCUCCCACCCUCGUGUAAUUCCAACUGAUUGAGAGAUAGUUUUCAAUUCUCGACAAUUGGGAAGGCAAAUGAGAGAUGGUGGCCAAAAAGGGGGGCGUGGUGCAAUUGUAGAGGGCAAUAGGUUAUGGUGGCAAGUGGUAGUUAAGUGUCGAGUUAGGGUUAGGUUUUUUAGGCUGGAGGGGAGGGUAUUUGGGAAACAUCAUAGGGGUACCAAUAACAAAUUCAAAGUCCAAAAUGGUUAAGUGUAGAGUUAGGGUUAGGGUUUUAAGGCUGGAGGGGAGGGUAUUUGGGAAACAUCAUAGGGGUACCAAUAACAAAUUCAAAGUCCAAAAUGGUUAAGUGUAGAGUUAGGGUUAGGGUUUUAAGGCUGGAGGGGAGGGUAUUUGGGAAACAUCAUAGGUGUACCAAUAACAAAUUCAAAGCCCCAAAUUUAAAAAUGUUUGUGGUGAAAAAUUGGGGUGUCUUAAUACUGUUUUGGAUUGGAUUUACAAGUUCCCUGACGAUGGACCCUGUGAGAAUCAGGAACCGAGCCCGCGUGGCAAUGAUUGUGAGCAUGGGUUGGUUCACUAACAGCUGUUGUUCUUGGACUGGCCCACUUUGCUCUUUCUUUCUGUUUUAGCCCGUUAAGUUCAUCAAGAAGUUCGGAAAUUGGCGGUUUGGCCCAAGUUUUUGGGCUAUAAUUCUUGUCUUGUUUUAUACUUAAAUAUAGGGUAGUUUUCAUUUAAUAUCCUCAAAUUUUUAUCUAGAUUUCACUUUUGUUCUUUAUAUUUCAAUUUGAAUAUAUUUAACUCUAAACUUUGAAGAUAGUUACAAUGUGGAACCCUCCUCCCACAUAUGUUAGAAUAUGUGGACGGAAAUAGUUAUGUUCUAUGCACAUGACCUAUACAAAGAGAAAAAUAUUUUUUUCUCCAUUAUUAGUGAACUUUUAUCCAAUUUUUUUUUUAUAUUUUUGAGCUCUUCUCAUUAAGAGGUACCAAAAAAGUAGACGAUUUUAACUAAACGGUGAAAAAAAUUCACUUAAAGAAAAAAGAAUUUUAUAUUAAUACUAAUUUAAAAACUCCGAUAAGGUCAUGUGUGUGACACAUGACUAUUUUCGUCCAUAAAUUCUAUUGGAUGGGAUGGAGGGUAGUCCACAUUGCAAUAAAUUUUAAAGUUCAAGAUAUAAUAUGUUCAAAUUAAAAUAUGAGAGAUGAAAGUUGAAUACAAGUGAAAGUUGGAGGAUGUUACUUAAAUAUAUUACAUCUUGAAUGGAAGAUUGUGUACAGUAGGUUAUCGAAGUGAGGCAAUAUCACCUCCCGAGCGACGUCGUUUUAAUGUACGAAAAGAAGAAAUAUAACUCAUACACCAAGUAAAAAACAUACAUCUAUGGCUAAAUAGACCAACUAGAUAUGAUCCAUUUAACAACUUGAGUUUUAGAGACAAUUAGUAACUUAUAUGGCAUUAGAGCUUUGAUUUCUAAGAGGGUCUUGAGUUCGAUUCAUUCUCUAUUUCAAUUGGUCAAUGACUUGUAUGGUAUAACCGAUCAAAAAAUGACUUGUAUAAAUAGUAUCAGAGCUUUCGUCUUUGUGUCUCUAUGUGAAUGUUUGUUUAUGUCCAACCUAAAAUUAAUUGAUUGUUGAUGGAGUAUAUUGGCACAACCCCGAAAGAUAGCGAACUCGGCGUGAUUUGUGGGACUCAGAGGAGUGAUAAGGCUGAAAUAACUGCUGGAGUAAAGGUUGCAAACUCCACAAAUCAUUGCUACACAAUGGAGAGGAGUUUGAAGGAGAGAAGUUUCAAUGGCGACAACUUCAACCGAAAUGGUAGUUCAAGUCUCAACAAAACAAUUGAGAUAAUCUCAGAAUUCAAAUAGGGAGUGCUCAGGCAGAACAUAUCUUGGAUCAGAGAAUAUCUUGAAUCAAAAUAAACUAAAAAUAACUCCUAGAUAGGCUCAGGAUUUAUGCUACAUAUUAUACGGUUUUUAUGUAAUUUGUUAUCUAAGUUUUUGUGUUUAAAUAGAGGAUGUGGUCCUAAGAAUUUUGUAACUAGAUAUAAAAAAUAUCCAGCUGUGUUCACGAAUACAUAGCAGACUUAUGUUUCUCCCUUUCUCCUUUUUUUCUUUCCUUGUCAUCCAGCCCCCUUUUCACACGUCAAUACCCCCAGCCGCAUCCCUCUCCUCCCCCAUCACCUCCUUCCUCCCCUCCUCUCUCCCCUUUUUCCCUUGUUUUUCCUCUCCAACUCCUUCCCCCCUCUUAUCCCAUUGUGGCGUGAAACAGCCUUGGCCCUUGCAAAGACAGCCCAAGAAUUGGCUCGGUCACCUUACCAAUGAAGAUCCUGCCCCACCUAAAUACACCAUACCAGAUUCCACAAUUUGCAGAAACUCUUGACCAAUCAUGGACCGAAGCAUACAUCGCAUGGGCAAGGCGGAUCGUCUUCUUCUGAGUGGAUAAUUGUGGAACACUUCUCUGAAGAAACGCUCUUGGCCUCGUCGUGGGGUUAGACACGCGCAAUGCCGAUGGAAGCGACUAAAGAAUGCCUACGCAGAAGAUUCACAAGAACGGACUUCACAAAAUCAGGUAACAAGUACUAUCUUUCCGGAAAAGAAUGACAAAACAAUUGGAGAACAUAUCCAAACAUUCAAAGGCCUAUGCGACAGUCUUGCAGCAAUUGGGAAACCAGUCCCAGACAAAGAAAAAGUAUUUUGCCUUCUCACUAGUCUUGGUCCUCAAUAUGAAACUUUUACUACUACCAUGCUCAAACCACCAAGACCAUCAUACUCUGAGCUUGUCUCACAACUUCAAAGCCUUGAUCAAAGAAGAAAUUGGUUCUUAAACCAUGCAAGUACCCCCCCCCACCCACGCCUCACCCCUCAAGGUUGGGCCUUUUACGGACAACAACAACACAAGAUAUCAGCAUCCUCCACAGGAAUUUCAAGGCAACACACCAAAAUCCACUUUCACAGGAAAGAGGAUUUCAGGCAACAACCACGAAAUACCAAACGCCAUUGCUCCUCCCCUCUCCCGACUUCUCUCACUCAGCCCCUCCGACCUCCCUUCCCCCCCACCUUUCGCAUCUACGCCCCUGCGCUACUGACAGACCUAUCGGACCAAAAUCCAAUAAGUGUGGCAUGAUGGGACCAGAAUUGCAAAAAUAUUUUGGUGUUGCCCCAAAGGCCAACGCAAACAAGAUGACAUACCACAAACCACACGCACUUACAUUGGCGAUCACACGUUGCUAAACGGAAAUUGGACCUCAGACACAAUGGAGCCUCAAAACACAUGAACAUGUAAGCAAGUUAUGUUAACUAAUAUGCGAAAUUAUUCUGGUGCAGAUAAUAGUUUCUUAUUGGUGGGAUGGAUCGUCCUACCACUUUUUGGUAUUGGAGAUUCUAGCAUUAAGAAAGAAUAAAUCGUUACCAUUCGUGGAUGUCUUACAGUCCCUCCACUUAAAAAAAAUCUACUCCUGUACGCACUAACCACUCAUGUAUCCAGUUCCUUUGUUAAUUCACUACUUUUGAGUUUUUUGUGUGGAAACGAACACACCGGACAACCAUGAUACACAGGGAGACCGCGGUGAUCUCUAUGUUUCUUCCCCAACCGCCAAAGCUCUAUUUUUCUUAUCGUUUCAAAUCUGGCUCCCCAGACAUUUUGAUCCCCUCACCUCUUCAGUCCCCGUUCCUCCUUCCCCCCCUCCUUCUUUCCCCUUUUUCCCCCCCCACUCAGUUUUCAUUUUCUUUAUCUUUUCCCUUUGGUUCACCCCCCCCCCCUCAGUUUGUGAUAUUUGCCCAAUUAGGGAAGCUUAGUAGAUUACUUUUUCCUUGUUCUAACACAAGUCAAAGUUCUAGCAUUUUUUUGAAAAAAAUCAUUUGAUUUUUUUUUACCUGCUUCCUAUUUUUCUCUAUUGGAAAAUUCAGAUAUAUGCAUGCUUUUUAUGAUUUUUUCUAAUUAUACGGGAUCAUUCCCUUACAACAUAUCUGAUUUUGCUAAUGCUUAUUUAGCCUUUGAAAUAUGUCCAACAUACAAAAGUUAACCAAGAGAUCAAUGUUUUUCACUCAGAUGGAGGAAGAGAAUUCAUAAACUCAUUUAUCCAGCUCACUUCCCUCUCCACUGGAAUUAUACAUCAGGUAAAUCAUGCCCACACACUCCAGAGAAACAGGUAAUGGUUGAAACGGCGACAUAGGUUAAUACGGGAACUUGGAAUGAUCAUUGAUUUUCAUAUGGACCCUGCCUUUAGUUUUUAUUGGUUAUAAGCCUUUUUCCACACUGCUUGUCUACCUAAUAACAUCGAUUGCCUUUUUUCCAUCUGCUCUUAACUCUGAAACCCUUAUUUUAAACACUUCAUGGCAACUCAUCCCGAUUACACUUCACUCGUGUCCUUUGGUUUCCAUGUGUUCCUUACACAUGUAUACACUACCAAAAAAUUUUUGGAAUCCAAAACUGUUCUUUGCAUCUUUGUGGGAUUGAGGCUAACAUAAAGGAAUACCAGUGCUUCAUCCCUCAAGCAAAAAUUUUUUAAUAUCUCGAACCUGGUUUUGGUUUUUGUAUGAAUUAUUUUUUUCCCUUACAAAAACACUCGGAACCAAAGUAUUGUACCACCCUACAUCACAUGUCACAGAAGUAUUUGUUGACUCAUGUUGCCUCAUACUGACUCCCAUUCCAAAAAUUUGGAAUUGAGUCCCAUACAUUAACACCACCAUGCUCACGUCCUCUCCUUUGCAAUACCAAUCCUCAUUUUUGGGUGUCUAUAUUGGUUACAGAUCCCUUCUUAAACGGCAUGAAAAUCAGCAACUCGGGACUGCUCUAGUUCGACUUGUCCCCGCAACCCUCCCACAUGAAUAAUCACAACCUGGAAACUUGAAGAAUGGAGUUGUCAACAAUUGCUGACCAAGACUACCCCAAAGUGCAGGAUGAAGUACACUAGCAAUCCCAAACCUCACCAAGAUCAAACACCACAACAAAACCCCUCACAUUCUUCUGGUCCACUCGCUCUCAAAAAGUCCUAGUUAAACCCAAUACCAAUAUGGCCUUAACUUCCCUCUAGUAUGUCCUGAUCCAAUAUCCCUCUUUGACCUCAAACUCCGAUUCUGCUUUAGCUCAUCCUGGGGAAAUAGCGAUGAAUGACGAACUUGAAGCUCUGCAAACAAAAUCAAACCUUGGAGACCUUGUUUCCACCACCCUCGGGGCUUCCAUUAUUGGUCGAUUGGGGUGUUGCAAGCCCAAAGCUCAACCGAUGGUUCAAUUAGAUAAUAUCAAAGCUCGUGUUGUGGCAAAAGGUUUAUCAUCAAGUGGAUUGGUCCUUGCUACACAGAAACCAUUCUCUCCAGUCCAUCAAACCUUGAACCAUCCUAAAUGGUCAUCAAUAUCUUCUUGUUAAAAGGUGGCCCAGACGUCCACUUGACGUACAAAAUUGCAUUUCUUCAUGGGGUUUAAAUAAAUUUCAGAAACCUAUUAUGGAACAACCCUCCAGGAAUGGCAGACCCCCCAAAUAUCCAAACAUUUUGCAAGCUUCAAAGGCUCCUAUCUGGUCCUCAAACAAGCAAACCUCAUGCUUGGUUUGAUCGGUUUAGUGCCUUUUCUUCUUAAAUAUGUAAUUUUUUUGUGCCUAUCGCGCCCCAUCUUUUUUUUAUUUUUCACUCUAUCUUGGAACACUAAUUUUCCGCCUUCUUUAGUGUAAAGAUAAUAUACUCCUCCCAGGGUUCUUCAACAGCUCUAGUAUCAACGCUUCAUUCAACUCUUUGAUCUGCUUAAUAAAAAAUUGUCAAUUGAAAGCUUGGGACAACUUCCUCAACUUCCUUGCAUCGAAUUUUCUCAAACCUCUGAUGGUUUUUCACCUGUUUCCCAAUCUCAUUAUGCCUUACCCUCCCUUUGACACGGGCCCCCAUCGUUUUGAUUGCAAGUCUAUGAGCCACACCACUUGAAGCUAAAAACCAAGACCUCAUCAAAUGGUGUCCUGCUAGAAGAUCCCGAGUUUAUUUAAGGGCCUUGUUGUGCCUUUUUACAAUACCUUAACCUCCUCCACAGGACCAGAUCUUUCAUCCCUUGUUGCAUUUUGCUCACCCAUUCCUGCAUUCUCCCCUAAUAUUGUGCCAUUUUGGAAAAUGUCGCCGUAAUCUUUUACGAUAUGGUUAAGGCACAAAUUUGCAUUGGUGUUUACAUUUUAUUUCCAAUACACACUUGAUCUUUGUGCCUUUCUCUGAACGCAGAUUGGGCAGGGUGUUUCCACGACAAUGCUAUCCACCACUGGUACUGUAACAUUUCUUGGAGGUAAACCUUCGUCUCCCCUGGUGUGCCAAAAAAACGCACACGAUCUCUCCGCU
rnacentral:lncRNA from 1 species